rnacentral:lncRNA from 1 species
CUAGUGUCAAAGGAAAACGUUUUCUUUAAUUUAUAAAGUAACAUAACCUUUUAUUUGUCCUGUAAACGGUAUUAAUAGCUAAAACACUAUAAUCAAAUCCAUUUAGCAGUAAACUUUGCUAACCAGAAAGUAUCUCACAAUGUUUAUUGUCUCUCUUAAUUAGCUCUCUGCCUGAACACUUUGUAAAUGGAAAAGUCUCCUCUUGACGCUGGAGCCCACUCCCUGCCUCGUUCUCAGCCAGCACUGUAAUCCUUCUGUAGCUGUCUCCUCAGUCAUUUCCUGGCCCAGCCUGGACUGACAGUUAUGUCCUCUUCGUGGUUUAAAAUAUUGCUUCUUUUUAUUUCAUUUUAGGUCUCCCCUUCCUCCUCAGCCGUUAUCUGUCUAUCUGCCAGUCUUUCCAUCUGUCCUACCCUAGAAUUUCUGUUUCUCUGUUUUCUCGUUAAAAGCAUGUUCAACAUUAUACUGAUGUCAAAAUGCACUUUAUUUGAACCACAAAUUGAAUAUAUUUUGUCUUUUCUGGAAA